GUGCUCGCUUUGGCAGCACAGGUACUGGAAUUGGAACAAUACAGAGAAGAUUAGCAUGGCCCCUGUGCAAGGAUGACACGCCAAUUCGUGAAGCAUUCCAUAUUUUU
ensembl:snRNA U6 U6 spliceosomal RNA